rnacentral:rRNA from 1 species
GGCGAACGCUGGCGGCGUGCCUAAUACAUGCAAGUCGAGCGGAAUGAUGAAGAAGCUUGCUUCUUCUGAUUUUAGCGGCGGACGGGUGAGUAACACGUGGGCAACCUACCUUGUAGAUUGGGAUAACUCCGGGAAACCGGGGCUAAUACCGAAUAAUCCAUUUUGCUUCAUGGCGAGAUGUUGAAAGACGGUUUCGGCUGUCACUACAAGAUGGGCCCGCGGCGCAUUAGCUAGUUGGUAGGGUAAUGGCCUACCAAGGCGACGAUGCGUAGCCGACCUGAGAGGGUGAUCGGCCACACUGGGACUGAGACACGGCCCAGACUCCUACGGGAGGCAGCAGUAGGGAAUCUUCCACAAUGGACGAAAGUCUGAUGGAGCAACGCCGCGUGAGUGAAGAAGGUUUUCGGAUCGUAAAACUCUGUUGUAAGGGAAGAACACGUACGAGAGUAACUGCUCGUACCUUGACGGUACCUUAUUAGAAAGCCACGGCUAACUACGUG